UGCAGUCGACGGUAGCACAGAGAGCUUGCUCUCGGGUGACGAGUGGCGGACGGGUGAGUAAUGUCUGGGAAACUGCCUGAUGGAGGGGGAUAACUACUGGAAACGGUAGCUAAUACCGCAUAACGUCGCAAGACCAAAGAGGGGGACCUUCGGGCCUCUUGCCAUCAGAUGUGCCCAGAUGGGAUUAGCUAGUAGGUGGGGUAACGGCUCACCUAGGCGACGAUCCCUAGCUGGUCUGAGAGGAUGACCAGCCACACCGGAACUGAGACACGGUCCAGACUCCUACGGGAGGCAGCAGUGGGGAAUAUUGCACAAUGGGCGCAAGCCUGAUGCAGCCAUGCCGCGUGUAUGAAGAAGGCCUUCGGGUUGUAAAGUACUUUCAGCGGGGAGGAAGGUGUUGUGGUUAAUAACCGCAGCAAUUGACGUUACCCGCAGAAGAAGCACCGGCUAACUCCGUGCCAGCAGCCGCGGUAAUACGGAGGGUGCAAGCGUUAAUCGGAAUUACUGGGCGUAAAGCGCACGCAGGCGGUCUGUCAAGUCGGAUGUGAAAUCCCCGGGCUCAACCUGGGAACUGCAUUCGAAACUGGCAGGCUAGAGUCUUGUAGAGGGGGGUAGAAUUCCAGGUGUAGCGGUGAAAUGCGUAGAGAUCUGGAGGAAUACCGGUGGCGAAGG
rnacentral:rRNA from 1 species